rnacentral:rRNA from 1 species
UACGGAAGGCAGCAGUGGGGAAUAUUGCACAAUGGGCGAAAGCCUGAUGCAGCUAUGCCGCGUGUAUGAAGAAGGCCUUAGGGUUGUAAAGUACUUUCAUCGGGGAGGAAAAACAAAACUAAUAAUUUUAUUUCUUGACGUUACCCGAAAAAGAAGCACCGGCUAACUCCGUGCCAGCAGCCGCGGUAAUACGGAGGGUGCUAGCGUUAAUCAGAAUUACUGGGCGUAAAGAGCACGUAGGUGGUUUUUUUAAGUCAGAUGUGAAAUCCCCUGGGCUUAACCUGGAACUGCAUUUUGAAACUGAAAUACUAGAGUAUCGUAGAGGGAGGUAGAAUUCUAGGUGUAGCGGUGAAAUGCGUAGAUAUCUGGAGGAAUACCUGUGGCGAAAGCGGCCUCCUAAACGAAUACUGACACUGAGUGCGAAAGCGUGGGGAGCAAACAGGGAUUAGAUACC